rnacentral:lncRNA from 1 species
AAAGAUCAUGCAAGAAUAAUCCCAGUUCAAUGCUCCCCUUUAAUUCCAGCUCAAGAAGUAAAUGGUUUCACAACUUCAACAUGAAAGAUUCUUGGAGUGUCAGCUUAACAUUCUACCACUAUGAGCUUAAUGAACCUGCACACUCACAAAUAAAGACAUUCAUACACUCUUUUUACACAUUGAGAGAAGUAGAAAAAGAGAAUGAUGUAAUAUAUUGAUGAUGUGAUAGAAAAAGAUGCACAAAAAUAAAUAAGACGUUGAAUGAAUAAAGAAAUAAUAAGUGUUCAUUUAUCAUUGUUGUUGUGAGAUAAUGAUAAAACAGAAUAAAACCAAUAGUUAAGACUCAAAUAGGAGCAGCCCAUUUUUCAUCAAGACUAGGUCCUCAAACUUAACACAAUUCAAAACUCACCUUGAUAAUUAACCAAACUAGAAUUUUCUCAUAAGCGUAUGUGUGACUUACCAUGCUACAUAGAAAACUAAGACAGUCCUUUAAAAUUGCCAAGCUAAUCAAAUAUGACAACACUUUACUCUUUCCUUCACAUCCAAUAAAAAAGCUAUAUUCUGAAAGUUUGUAUCGAAGGAACUUUAGAGUAUUUAGGCAUCUUUCAUAAACAAGAGAGUAUUUAGGCAUCCAACACAUUGGUCACAUAUACUUUCCUACCUAUAAUGUCACACCUUUUGACUCUGAUGACAAAAUUUAUGAUGAAUCCACUCGAUUGCCCCUAUGUUUUAUUUUUUCAUAUUGCCAUUGGUCCCGUGCAUAUUUUCAAUUCAAAUUAAGACAGGAUGCUACCUGAUUAACUAGUAUGAGCUCUUUACUAAACCAAAGUUGCGCACUUUAUGUAGGUAAAUUCUUCUCAGCUAAGUUUAAACUUUAAAGUUUACAUUCAACAAGCAUGGAUGCUACUACACAAAAUAUAACUACUAACACCUGCUUAUUUUAACCCACUCACAAUGAACAAACUAUAAUUGAUUAUUGGGGUUAGAUAUCGUUUUCAAAUGAAAAGUGAAAUAAAAAAUCUAGCGAUUUGUGACCGGCUUUAGCUUCUAUUUUGUGUUUCAGGAUUCAAUGUUGGUCACAAUUCUCUUCAACCAUGGAUUAUUGUGUACCCUGUUUUGAGUAACGUGUUAAGGUCCUCACAGUGGUGUACGUUAAUUUACAUAGGGAAAAGGACAGCUAAAUGACGAAAGCUCGCUUAUAAUAUGAUACUAGUAGAGCUGUCUUUGGCACUCCCCACCCCUUUUCAAAAUAAAUUCUAAGUACUUCAUAU